AUUCCAGCCAGAGCACUAGCCUCUACCUCAAUGUAGAAGACAGCUGUCAGUAGUGGCUGGCUAUAGCAGGAGAUGCGGUCUCUGUGAGGAGGCAUCAGACUGGAGUUUGUUCUGAGAGUAGAGAGAAGCUUUUGUCCCCAGUCUGUUUGAGCCUUCAGACUACACGUCAGUAACAGUUCCACAGACAUGUGUCUACUCUCAUUUAGGCUCUUUCUGACAGAUGGCCGAGGAACAUCAUGCCAAAGAUGAUCACAUGUCAGGGAUGGUUGAUGUUGAGGGAAUCUGUCCUUCUGUUUCUCUCUCUCUCCCUUUCUCACGUAUGCACAUAUGCACACAUGCGCACACACAUUCACACACACACAAACACACAUACUCCCUCACAUGUAAUUAACCUCUCUAGGGUCGGCGGGACGAAAUCGUCCCACCUACGUAGCAG
rnacentral:lncRNA from 1 species